GACGAACGCUCGCGGCGUGCUUAACACAUGCAAGUCGCACGGAGUGGCGAACGGGUUAGUAACACUUGGGUGAUCUGCCUUGCACUUCGGGAUACGCUUGGGAAACUGGGUCUAAUACCGGAUAGUGCAAGAUGAGCUCGCGGCCUAUCAGCUUGUUGGUGGGGUAAUGGCCUACCAAGGCGUCGACGGGUAGCCGGCCUGAGAGGGUGUACGGACACAGUGGGACUGGGAUGCGGCACAGACUCAGACGGGAGGCAGCAGUGGGGAAGAUUGCACAAUGGGCGGAAGCCUGAUGCAGGGAGGCAGCGUGGGGGAUGAAGGCCUUCGGGUUGUAAACUCCUGUCGACAGGGACGCGGGACCUGUAUAAGAGGCACCGGAUAACUACGUGCCAGCCGCCGCGGUAAUAC
rnacentral:rRNA from 1 species